ensembl:lncRNA
ACUCAAAAUGUGAUCAAAGAAGAAGGGGACAUCUCAAUUUUUAUUCAAUAAGAUUUGCAUGAUGGCAGGCAUGAAGGACUUGCAUUCACUGCUAAGAAAGACAUUGGAAAUGAACAGAAUCCAUUUCGGAAAAAGAAGAAAGAAAGAAAGGAAGAAAGGAAGAAAGGAAGAAAGGAAGAAAGGAAGAAAGGAAGAAAGGAAGAAAGGAAGAAAGGAAGAAAGGAAGAAAGGAAGAAAGGAAGAAAGGAAGAAAGAAAGAAAGGGUAUGGCUACGGAAUUCACGUGCCUACUUUUUUAUCUACAUGACCUGCUUAAAGGCCUAAGCCAAGUUUCAUUAAAAAUUAUUAGUCUCAUAACUUUUUUUCCUUAAAGAGUCCCAUAUGGCACCAAUAUCAAGAUAAAAUUGUGGCAGUGCAAAAAUUUUCCCUCUCUUAUUUUUAAAAAGUGCUAUGAAGUGACUUUAUAGCAAAAGUCGAAACCAGUAAACAGUGGUGAGAUCUCUCUUGAAAAAGUAUUGUGGGCAGCUGCCUAAGUUUGAAACAGGGUAUUUAUCUGAAAGAAGACACACAACAAGAUUUCUGGUGUCUAAUACAGUGUACUGAGCUAUACAAGUUCAGUGGAAUACUAUCCCCUUCUUGGAGGGUGCUUUGCUAACACUUAUUGUGGUAUUAAAGAAUUCUUUUCUAUUACUGUGGCAUCUGCUAAAAACGUCAGAUGUGAUCACAGCCCUUGCAAAACAAGUAUUUUAACAACCAAAACCUUAUGAUAGGUUAUAUUUCAGUGACUUGGAAACAACACUGCAUUAUCUGAGAAAACAGCACAGAUGUUGCUUAAUAAACUGUUCAGUUUAUGCAUUGUAUUAACCUCAUGAAACAUUUAUGCAAAUCUUGCAUUAACAAAAGGUAAAAGAAUCAUUAUAGGUUAUGAAGAAAACAAUGUGACAACCUUUUUUACCUCCGUGUUUUAUGAGGGCAUUUUAACUCUUUGGGGUUUCUGUUUAGGAAGACACAGGGGCAUUACAGAUUUUCAUCUAUUUUGUUUUCAGUUCUGCUAUCAUUCCUUCCAGCUGAUUUCACAUUUUAUAAUGCUAAUAGUGGAUGUAUGGUUUUGAGUUUCUCUACUGUCAGCUGGUCAGUAGGUCUGGGGGAUAUAUUUAAUGGAAUCUGACAGCUGAUGGAACUGAUCUCAUUGAAAGGGGAUUUGAUAUGUGGGAUGAAUGUGGUGACCCUCAAUUCGCCAUAUUAAUGACCAUUAUUAUUCAAACUCUUGCAGCCAAUAUAACUCUUUCUUGGACACACCAGUACAUGGGUAUAAAAGAAAUGACUUAUGGAUGAGUUAGUCCAUAUACUAGUUUGAGUGCCAUUUAGAUAGCAUGUCAAAACAGAUUAGCUAUUUUACCCUGAGAGAAAAUUAAAGGAAAAGUCUUUUUACCCUGCACACUUGUAAACAAAGCAAACAUAAAAAUGGAUAGUAUCCCCAGACAGUCAAAAAUCCAGCAAAUACAAACACCUCCAUAUGUGGAAAAAAAAUACUAGUUUACUCCAGAGUAUAUCAAAUAAAGCAUAGCCAUCAGAUCCUGUAGCUGCAACUAACAGGUUUGCUAUUGGCUACCCAAAUAAAUUGAUUAUAGGCACCCCUUGCAUGCAGAUCAUUUUUGAAAAAAGAGAAAUAUACAAACUUUAAUUAAUGCAAACCUGAAUUUAAUUAGGUACAUCAGAACUGUAGCAGAACACAACAUUCUGCAUCCAUUUGUGCCAAAAUACUUACUGUUUCAUUUAAUAUCUCUGCUUGUUGAAUGCAAGGGAAAUAUUGGGCACAACCUUCUCACAUUUCUGUGAUUUUUUGGAAGAAAGGAAGCUAGUUACAGAUGAUUUAACAGACACAUAAAGAAUAUAAAAGGAAAGUUAAACAUGUGAGCAAGAGUCACAAGGAAACAUUUGCUAUUAAAUUAUACAGACUUGCUACUUUUUUUUUGGUCAGAAAUAAAAAUCUAUUAUUGAUCUUUAGCACUAACUCCUAUUUUGAAUGUCUUUUAAAGCCAAGGGCACUCUAACACCGUUUAAUCAAUAAAUGCUUUCACAUUUUUGAAGCAAAUAUGCAAUUUGUUUACAGAUUUUAAAGGCUACUAAUGCAUAUUGCCUUUUCUCUUCCAUCAUGGUUGGGAGUAGUUUUACACUAUCCAGCUACGGUGCUUGCUGUGCUGGGCACUCCACAGUUUGUGUUAUGGUGCUUGUGGUGCAUGAAUAAUAUAAGCACAUUGCAAUUCUUUCCUUCUUUGCUUCUGCAAAGGGAGAGAAUACUCAGAAAGGAACCAUACAAAGUGAUGCCACCACCACCACCAAAAUACUGUGCCGAGACACUCAACCUACACAUACAAGUAUUGCAGCAUAUGAGGAAUGCAUCAAUAACCUUUAAGUUAUUAAGGAAACCAUCUGAGAAAGAGGAUGUAAUUAGAUCAUAGCAGCGAGGUUCACAUUUGGUUUCCAUAUUUUUGAGGAUUCGGUCAACAUUAUAAUAUCUCAAUUACUGUAUGGUUUGAAAGGCUUAACCAUAUGAUGACACUCAAUUACUCAUUCAUCUAGCCAAAAAUGUUAAGAGCCCUUGAAAAGUCAGUUCUUUAAUCUUUUAUGAAUCAUCUUUAUCUAAACGUUGUCACCACAUGGGCAAGGGCACUGAGUAUCAUGAUCAGUUUAUGUUCACUUUCUUGUUCAUCCUCUACAGAAAAUUCUAGCUCAGAUUGUAUCUGAAUUUUAAUAUCCACACUAUUGGGACAAAAAAGAAACUGGAAUAAAGAUGGACUUACAAAUUAAUAAGAAACACAUGCAUUUAAUAAAGCUAAAAGUU